UCGUUAACCCUUUAGGCUCUGCAAGGACAAAACACAAGGUAUUAGCUGUAUAUGCAUCAGUGGCAAACUUGCCACUUCAUGUACGCUCAGACACAGAUCACAUGUCUCUUGUCUUACUGUGCAGGGAGAAAGAUUUUAAAGAGUUUGGUCAUGCUAAUGUGUUCUCUGAAUUACUGGCAGACUUGAAAGAAUUGGAGGACAGUGGGAUUGUUGCAUCAGAUGAAACUAGAGUCAAAGGAACUUUGUUUUGCAUUGCUGGUGAUAAUCUGGGUUCUCACUGUAUUGGUGGCUUCACUGAAAACUUUAGUACUUCAAAACACUUCUGCAGGUACUGCCUGAUAACGAAAUCUGAAUUUCAGGGUGCUGACCCAAAUCUGUGUGGACCAGAACAUACCAAAGAGAACUACAACUCUGCUGUUGAUCGCCUCCAGAUUGACAAUACACCAGACGUCGAAGGAGUGAAGUUCAGACACUGAAUUUGAGCAGAAACCAUAAGGAUACUCAAAGGACCUGUGACUCUCAGGAAAUGCAUUGAAUGAGAGGGACAGAUGAAACAGUUUCAAGACAAUGGCAGGAAAAACAUGCUGAAGAUUGAAACAAACCUUGGCUGGAAAUAUUUGAAGGUAUCUAGCCAGUCCACAAUGAAAGCUUCGUUGCACCCCAUGAGUCUUCUGGCAGAAAUGAUGGCGCCUGUAUUCUUUGGUUUCCCUAAACAUCACACCCUGCCUGUUUAUACGAGGCUCUUCAAUUAAGUCUGCACCCAAAGAUUCAAUAAGAGAGGGGAUCCUGCCAGUCCAAAGUGAACUCCUGAUGGACAUUGAAGUACUCCUGCAGAGCUUGUAUCUUCGACACCAUGCGCAUUAGAAACUCCACUGAGUCCUUUCCUUCACCAAGGCAGGACCCAGUGACUCAUUACUGUUGAUAGGUCAGGGGCAGGUAAUAUUUUGUUUCAUUUUUUAUUCAUUCCUC